CGGAAGCAGGCGUCUCGCUGAGGCUGGGGGUUCCCAUAGCAACGAGUCCUUCCCCGGGUGAGAGCGGUCGGGGCCGGGCAGGGGAUUUGCCGCCGGGGGAGACCAUGUGUGUCACACGUGGGAGUCGGACCAUGCUGAUAUUCGCGGGGUUGCCGUGGAGGGCUUGCAGCUCUCCAGAGGUAGGAAUCAGAACUACACAGCUGCAUAUCAUAGGCCUUGUACUGCUACAAGGGUUAAUUGUCUGCCACAAGCUGUUUGAGACCCUGUGAUGCAAGGUGGUGUGAGCUGUCUUGUAAUUCAUCGGCUUCCAAGACGUAUACUUCUGAACCUGGUUUAAAGGUUACCAAGCCCUGCUGUGAACAGGGGAAGAGUAAAAGUGGUGUGCUGCUCCCUCCUCUCCCCCCUGCCCUCCAUAGUUAGAGUAUCAUUCCUUGUGCCAGACAAGUUGCAGUUGGCAGGUGAUUAAAAAGCAAGGGAGGAGGUGUCUAAAGUUGCAAACGUCCCAGCAUCGUGGCGAGUCCUGGCUCUGCGGCUUCCGGCAGUCGUCAUCUCUGAGGAAGGGUUCCAGUUG